GCAGAAGCUUCUAGGGGUUUUCUGAGUUUAGGAGGUCAGGGCAUCAAUCCUGAGCUCAGGGGGUCAAGGAGUCACCGGUGACAUGGCCUGGACGGGGAACUAAGAAACUCAGGCCCAGAAGAAUUCCAGCUGUGUGCCGCCCACUUACCUGCCCCAACUGCCCGGGAUGGUUGGAGGUGAAGACGUAAGGCCUGACACCCGGCCCUGACAGGUGAAGAAAGAGAGCACGAAGGGGGGAGGAGCAGAGAGAGAGGGAGACCCAGAAUUCGAAGCGGGCUCCGGGCUCCGAGCUGUCAGCACAGAGUCUGACGCGGGGCUCGAACCCACGGACCGGGAGAUCAUGACCUGAGCUGAAAUCGGACACUUAACUGACAGAGCCACCCAGGCGCCCCAGACAGUUAUCUUCCCUUUUCCCUGCUUCCCCAUCACCUUCCCGGAACCCAGAGAUGCCCUGUUAGCCCUCCUCUCCCAGUCCAAAGAGCGGGUCUGCAGUUCCAGAAGGGCCUUGAGCAAAAAGCAUCCCAGCCAGGACUUCAAAUCUGCAUAAUUUAUCCACACACAGAGCCACUUCUGCAACCCAAGAUGCCACUCCUGAACGGCUGCCCAGAGAGCUCAUGCUGCCAAAUCUUUCAGAAGACGCCUCAUCACAGACCCACAGAGAGCAGGAGGACGCCCUGUGGCCGUAACCCUCAGCGUUCCUUCAUCCAGUCAGCCUGCUGCGAUCCAGCACUCAUGACGGCUCACAGAGGGCACAGGGGGUCCCUGAGGCAGCCUGGCGGCCCCUACCCUCAAGGGGCUUGUCAACUGGAUGGGACGCACACAGACAAGACACUGGAAAACUAUGAAAUGACACAGCAUAUGUCAAG